UGAGGGUAUACCCAGUUCAAUUUCCUGAGCCUUAGCCAUUUUCGGUUGAUCCACCACUAGACACCGAUGAUGAGGAGGUCAAGCACGACGCUUGACCAGUUAGGGAAGUCUUUCGUUCUAAUUUCUUUAAUUUUAUAAACAAUGAGGACAUUGUUCAUUAUGAGUUUGGGGCUGGAUUUGUAUGUCAUUGUACAUAGUCAUGUCAUAUUGCAUUACAUAAUUCACAUACAUUUCAUGGGUUAGUUAUUUUUGUAUAUUAUUAUAAAAAAAAUUAGAACUGGGGAGCUUGCUUCGGUGAGCUCAUAAAGAACAUCGAACUCGCCCCAGUGAGUAGGCCUCUGUCCAUUUUUUCCCAACGAACUCUGAACUCGACCCAACCAGUUUCUCUUUGCUAGUUCUCACCUCGGCGAGCUCCCACAACACAACGAAGCCGCCCCAAUGAAUUGAUCGGGUUUUUGUUUUUAAAAUAACCCUGAACCCUAAUCAGAUUACCAUUACCCAUAUUCCUAAGCAGUUCCAAACUCAAUUUUCUUUCACCCUAACUAUUGAAAUCACUCUUCUUCUCCCUAAUGAAGUCUCCAAUAUAACUUCAUCAAUCCAAAAUUAACCAAGGUGCACAUAUUCCAUCUUCAAUUUGGAUUACACAUCUUAAUUUUGGGGGCUUAACAAGGGUGAAUCUCAAGCAAAAUCAUUUACCCACACGCGCGAGUUCCUCACCGAAACAACUCUACACCCACAAUGAUCCAACCGAACAAGGCAUUCAACUAACACUAGUCAAGUUAGUAUAUUGGAUAGUUCUUGCUUAGAUAACGGCAUGUUGGAUUAUAUUGAUUUUCAUCUAUUGUGGAGUUUGGGAAAUUAGUUAAUUGGUUGCCCAAUUGAGUUUGUGUUGGCUCAAUUGGAGGUUUUUGUGGUGAUUAUUACUAUAUAAGCUCCAAUAUUUUGAAAAUUUCUAUUAAAAUGAGUUUAAGGGAAUUGUUGAAGAAGGGAUUUCAGUUAGGGAAACCAAGUGUUCGACGAUUUGCUACAAAGAAUAGUUGGUCUGAUUUUUCACUAUUUCAUAAGGAAUUGCUUGGGUUAUUAUAACAUGGCUCCUAAUCGUCAACGAGGUGAAAGUUCUUUGACUACACGAACAUAUGAUAUGCCACGGUUUGUUAGUGCAGAAUUAGAAGACAAAUUUGAUACAUGUUUGGGAGGUAAAACUCUAACUCUCGAGCGUGGUUUUUGUCCUUUUGAGUUGCUAGAUGGAGAGAUGACACAAUAGAUCAUUGAAAAAGGUUUGGAUACUUUCACGGACUAACCAGAAUCGGCAGUUAUAGCUAUUGCCAAGGAGUUUUAUGCUAACGUCGAGGAUAAGUCACCAAAAGUCAUGAUUAGGGGCAAAAUGAUAUCUUUCAGUGGAUAUAAUAUUAAUGAGUUUUAUAAUUUGAGAGCACUAGAAUACUACCAAUAUGUAUAAUGUUUGUUAGUGAAAAUCCAGAUUUUGAGAAGGUUAUAAUUUACUUAUGUAAUCCUGGUUCUGCUUGUACGUUUAAGGGUCCACGUGGUGUUAUGUAUUUCCCCAAC
rnacentral:lncRNA from 1 species